rnacentral:rRNA from 1 species
UACAGAGGUCUCAAGCGUUGUUCGGAUUCAUUGGGCGUAAAGGGUGCGUAGGCGGCCCGGUAAGUCGGGUGUGAAAUCUCGGAGCUUAACUCCGAAACUGCAUUCGAUACUGCCGUGCUUGAGGACUGGAGAGGAGACUGGAAUUUACGGUGUAGCGGUGAAAUGCGCAGAUAUCAGGAGGAACACCGGUGGCGAAGGCGGGUCUCUGGGCCGAUACUGACGCUGAGGAGCGAAAGCGUGGGGAGCAAACAGG